GACGAACGCUGGCGGCGUGCCUAAUACAUGCAAGUCGAACGCUGAAGGAGGAGCUUGCUCUUCUGGAUGAGUUGCGAACGGGUGAGUAACGCGUAGGUAACCUGCCUGGUAGCGGGGGAUAACUAUUGGAAACGAUAGCUAAUACCGCAUAACAGUAGAUGUUGCAUGACAUUUACUUAAAAGGUGCAAUUGCAUCACUACCAGAUGGACCUGCGUUGUAUUAGCUAGUUGGUGGGGUAACGGCUCACCAAGGCGACGAUACAUAGCCGACCUGAGAGGGUGAUCGGCCACACUGGGACUGAGACACGGCCCAGACUCCUACGGGAGGCAGCAGUAGGGAAUCUUCGGCAAUGGACGGAAGUCUGACCGAGCAACGCCGCGUGAGGGAAGAAGGGUGUCGGAUCGUAAAGCUCUGUUGUAAGAGAAGAACGAGUGUGAGAGUGGAAAGUUCACACUGUGACGGUAGCUGACCAGAAAGGGACGGCUAACUACGUG
rnacentral:rRNA from 1 species